rnacentral:lncRNA from 1 species
GACCAAGGGUUGUACAACAAGAUCGGUGGAACCAACGGUGGUGGUGGUAAAGAUGAGCUUGGGGAUAGUUUCAAAAGAGAUAUGAGAGAGUUACAAGAACUGUUCUCUAAGCUUAACCCCAUGGCUGAAGAGUUUGUACCUCACUCGCUUGUUAACAAUGGACUCAAUGGUGGGUUUCACACUAACAAUAUUGCUUUACAAAACAACAAUAACAACAUCUCAAGGAAUGGUAAUGCUAAUUGCAAUGGUGGUGGUAAAAGGGUAUGUCACCAAAACCCCCAGUUAUUUUCAUUGAUGCUUAGUGUACAUUUUGUGUAAGGAAAUUGAUAUGCUUUGAGUAUUAUUGCUGUACUGGUCUUAUGCUUGGUAUGGUUGGUUCUUAUUUUAGGGUUUUUUUGGCUGAUAACUUAAAAAAUCGAAUUAUUCGAGUUCCUGUGAUGGUCUCACCCUAUAUCCAAUGGGCGGUAACUACAUUGUGUAUCUGUUUUCUCAAUAAUGGAGAUGAUGAAAUGGGAUUUAAUUGAACAAAUUUGGUUGAGUGGGGGUUAUCCUUUUAUGUUAUGUACAUUUUAAACCGUACGAAAGCUUAAAUUCCGAAUAUUAGCGAAAUUCCGUAUGAUAUCAUGGAUUUUGUUCAUUCAUUUCGUUUUUCUCAGAAGAAAAAUUUAGGUCAAGGGAAACGGAAAUCGAACAGCAGGACAAGUAUGGCUCAAAGAGAAGAGGUUAUCCGUAGGACUGUUUAUGUGUCUGAUAUCGACCACCAGGUAUGUUUAUAUAUUCAGCAUCAGCUUUGUUUGUAUGCCGCAAUUAAAUUCUUCUGUUUUGGAUUUGUCAUCUCUUAUUGGGAUGCAGGUCACAGAGGAGCAGCUUGCCGGUUUAUUUGUGGGUUGUGGGCAGGUGAUGUUAUUUUCAUUGCUUGUCUUUGCAGUUUUAUCAAAAACAACCUAUCUGAAUGUACUUUUUUCUUCUGAAGGUGGUUGACUGUCGCAUAUGUGGUGAUCCUAACUCUGUACUUCGUUUUGCUUUUAUCGAGUUUACUGAUGAAGGUGAUGUUCAACCAUGGUUAUUUGUUUCAUUCUUUAGCGGAUAAACGUGGUAUUUACAUUCUUUACCAUGCAGAAGGUGCACAAGCUGCACUGAACCUGGCAGGAACUAUGCUUGGAUUCUAUCCAGUUAGGGUGCUGCCUUCGAAAACAGCUAUCGCACCUGUUAACCCGACAUUUUUGCCAAGGGUGAGGCUGAUUGUCGUAAAUUAUACCAGAACUUCUUGCAUUUUCUUUAUGUAUUCGGCCCGUUAAAACAUUUGUUAUUUGGAUUUCAGAAUGAGGAUGAGCGUCAAAUGUGUGCGAGAACUAUCUACUGUACAAACAUUGACAAGAAGGUGAGAAGCUUUUUUGCAUUUUAUAAUGUUGAAUAUAAAAAUGAUCCCGAUUGCAAAUAACCCUUUAAACUUUUUAUUAUAUGAUUUUACAUACUGCAGGUUACUCAAGCUGAUGUUAAACUCUUUUUCGAGACAGUCUGUGGGGAGGUUUGUUUAACUCUGGUGUUCUGUUUUUACUAUUUAUUACGACAAAAACCUAUCGAGAUGCAUUUAAAGGGAGUACUUGUCUGAUGCAGGUUUACCGCCUGAGGUUGCUUGGGGACUAUCAGCAUUCAACUCGCAUUGCUUUUGUCGAGUUUGUAAUGGUAGUUGUUUUUUUCCUCUUCAUUCAUGCAAUUUGACUGAACAACUUUUCCCUUGUUUAUCGAGGCUUUAAUGAGGUAUACAAGUACAUGACCUUUAGAUCUGAAAAUUUUGGCUAGCCGGUCGGUAUUCCCCUUUGGAAGAGUGCAUUCUCGUGCGAGCUGUGGUUUUUGUUUUCGUGGAUUAAAUUCAAAAGCAAAAAACUCGAUUUAACUGUUGAAUUCUAGUAUAGUAGGCGGUACUGCAUAGGGUAAAAGUACCAUGGAGGACCUUGUACUAGGAGUUGGAUUUUAUUUUGCUCCCCUACUCAAAAAAUUGGCAAAUUAGUCCCUAUACGUUAGAUCAAAGUGCUAAGUGGCCUUUCUGUGAAAAUUUUUAUCCAUUUCUACUGUUAAAACCUGGUCCAUGUACAUUAAUUUAAGGUACAUGUGGCUUGCUAUGUGACACUGUCUGGUUAUUCUGUUAAUUACGCCAGUUUCUAGCAGUACAAAUGAAUGUAUUUUUUGACAAAAAAAAAACUAAUUUGCUUUUUGAUUUAACAUAAAAGGACUAGUUUGUCCAUAUUUUGGGUAUAGGAGGCAAAAUGUAAUUUGACUUCUAGUAUAGGGGCAUGCAUGGUACUUUUACUGCAUAGAUAACACUCCUCGGAGCUUUGGAUUUUGUUCCUCUGUUUGGCUUAUUGAACCUUUGUUGGCUUAUUGGAAAAGUUAUUGGUGUUUCAACACGGGUUUAAACUUUGGAAGUGAUAUUUAAUGCCUAUUAGUCACCCCGAGAUUGGGUUACCUCAGUGUUGAUGAACGAAAGAUUGAGUUCUCUCGUAUUCACCUGCAGGCUGAAAGUGCGAUUGCUGCUCUCAACUGUAGUGGUGUGGUUCUGGGAUCAUUGCCUAUAAGGUUAGAUUCCCGAUUCUCCCAUCAGUUGUUGUAAUGAUAUAUUCUCUCGGUUUUCUUUUUUUUUUUCACCGUAAUUUCUAUCCAAAUAUCAAUAAAAAGUAUAUAUAUAUGUUGCGUUUUAAGUGAAAACCUCGGGUGUUGUGUAUGAACAGGGUCAGCCCAUCAAAGACCCCAGUUCGGCCACGAGCUCCUCGCCUUCCCUCGUACUAAAUCAUUCACUCCAAACCGAUUUUAGUUCCAAGUUUAUAUAUAUAUAUUUAAAUACAUACACAGCCAUGUAAAGAUGUUUCCCCAUGUUGCUCUUGCUGAUCUACAUAUAUAUCGUCCACUGCUGCUAUGUUUCGGCAUCUUCGUUUACCAUAGGAGUCUUGUCUUUUCUUUAUCCACGCAUGCAACUUUGCGGUACAUAGAGAAUUCUGAUGGAACUUCGAGACUUUUCGAACAAUGUUAUGCAUUAUUGCCCUCUAAUCUUGGACAGAAUUUGACACUAUCUGGUAAUUAAAGACUAUGUGAAUGAUGAAGUGGUACUUUUAGUACACAUUUUUUGAGUUAUUUCUACUAAUGGAUGAUGCUUUUCCUUUUGGAUGUUUUUCUUUUACCAGCAUUGGUUCAAAGUUGGCUUUGUGUUGUGCUGCAUUUUCAUGACAUGACAUUGCACUACUAGGUAAUGUCCAAAUAAUGACUAGUUCUGAACCGGAUAUUGAUCAACUCGGUGAGUUGAAUGAUUACCACAGAUAUUUGAAGCAUACUGAAGCAUACUAAGAACAGGCAUUUUCUUUAAAAAAAAAAAUUACACUUAUAGUCAUCUAAUUAUUCGUAAAGUAUUUUUUGAUUACUUAAUUAUGCAAAGUUAUAAAAUAAUCACUCAUCUAUUUGAUUUUUUUUUUCACUAAUCAUUAAAUGGCUAAUGAAAAUGUGAGAUGUCAGUUUUUAAAUUUGGUAUUAUAGCAAUUUUGAUCACCAACAUUUAUAUAUUAUGUCAAUUUACUCUUUUAUUUUAAAAAAAUUAGGGAAUUAAUUGAACGAGUAGUGAAGUUCUUUGCGUUCAUCGGAGAUGGUAAACAACGAUGGAGAUCAAAAUGACAAAAGUAAGUAGCUUAGUUGAACUAAUAUUAAAUUGGUCAAGCAUGAACAUAUGAAAUCAGUAUCGAAGAUUGAAUCAUUUUAACAUAUUGUGAAAUCAAUAUCGAAGAUUGAAUCAUUUUAGCAUUUAGUGUUCAACUUAAUGGUGGAGAAUCAAAGUAUCAUUGGAAAAAAAGAAGAAGAGAAAAAGUGAAUUAUGUUCUUGGAUGUUUUGGUGUUUUCAAUUUUGGUAUUUCUUAAUUAAAUGUAGUUGAUAAAGUUGUUUUUUUUUUUAGCUUUGUAGGUGUAAGGCAAUUAAAAUUGUAAAAAAAUAUUAAAUUAAACAAUGCAUGAAAGUUGAGUGUUAAUUUUUUUAUAAGUAAAAUUAAAUUGACACAAUGUAUAAAUGUUUGAAGAUUAAAAUUACAAUUCUAUCAGUCUUGGCUAACGGUUAGUGGCAAAAAAGAACAAAUUGAAUAGUCAAAAGAAAAUAUAAAGAGGUAGGUUGGGCCAUGACCCCUUAAAUUAAAAAUUUGUAAUUCUAGCCUCAUAUAAAUAAUUAAAAUAUAAAUUAACAUAUGAUAAAAUUAUACAUUGCCCUUAAAAUAAAAAAAAAUAUUUUAUUUUAAGUCCUUAAAAAAUUAAUAAAAUUAUAAUUUAAUACAUAAUAAAGUCUUUAUUAUCGCAUCUCAAAAAUUUAUAAUUCAAUUUUUAUCACUUAAAAAAAAUUCUGGGCAUUUUGUUUCAAUGCCAGAAAACAUAGAAAAACCUAAUCCCUGUUUCAAUCUCUGCUCUAUUUGCUGCUCAGAAGCCAAAGGGGUUCUAAUCUGUAUGCAAGCCAUUAAAGCUCUAGUUUCUUCUUUCUCAUGUUAUCUUGUAUACUUUAUCUCUAUUACAGUUGUUAAUGACAAAUAUAUGACAGUGCCCCAUUUGUUUUUUCACAUUUGUACUAAUAUAGCAUUAUUUUUAAAAUAUAAUCUAUCUCCAGAUGACAUAUAUUCUAUAGUACUUACAGGUUUUGAAGUACUAGUACUACUUAUUCUAUCAAUCAUCCAAUCUUUUGGUAUUGACAGAUCUUUUAGAUGCAGUAAUUUUGGUUGUAUCUCUGUAGUAAAUUUAUUGGGUUCAAAUAACUCAAUUAUUUUAUUAUUAAUUUCUUUAAUUUCUACUUCUGCCGUGUUGGUUAUGAUUUCCAAUCUUAUAAAGAAUAAUAGAACAUUGGAAAGUCAAAUUCACUAAAAGUACUGAUAAAAAUGAAAGAAUAGAAUACUUAAAAUUAAUAGAAGAACUUUAUGAAAAACAUAAAGAUUUAUGAAAAACCUGUAAGUACUAUAGAAUAUAUGUCAUCUGGAGAUAGACUAUAUUUUAAAAAUAAUGCUAUAACAAAUACAAAUGAUAAUUUAGUUUUACCUUCUAAUUCUCAAAUAGAGGAAGAAGAAGAUAAUAUUAGUACAAAUUCGACAACACCAAUAGGUAUGAAAACAGUUCAAAUACCUAUUUUCCCUACUGAACCUAGUAGAAAUUCUAGAAUGGAAGAAAUACAAUCUACUACUAUUAUUCAACAAAUAAAAAUAGGAAAAAAUGAUAUUAUUACAUUUUCAAAUUUCCAACCUAGGAAAUAUUAUACAUAUAUAGAAAUUACACUUCAAUUUAGAGACUAUAAAACAUAUUCUUUGCAUGCUUUAUUAGAUACUGGAGCUACCACAAGUAGUUGUAGAGAAAAUGCCAUUCCUGUAGAAAAAUGGGAAUUAAUGAAAAACCCAAUUAGAGCUAUAGGAAUUGAUGGUAAAGAAACCAUAAUCCAAUUUAAAGCUAGAAAUAUACCAAUUUACAUAAAUAAUGUAAGAUUUGUAAUUCCUAAAAUAUUGUGUUUUCCUGAAAUGCAUGGAGACAUAUUAUUAGGAAAUAAUUUUAUAUAUUAUUAUCUACCGUUUUCUAUAGAUAGAAAUUUAGUAAUAUUAUCAACAGAAAAAACUUCUGUAGAAAUACCUUUAAUAGAAAACCAUAAAUUUGUAUGUGAUAAAGAAAAUAUAGAUUCUAUAGGAAAUAGAAUUAAUUUUGCGAGAAAAAGAAUAACUCUACAUUGUCUACAAACUAAAGCGGCUAAACAAGUAAAAAAUAAAUUAACUUAUAGUAAUUGUACAAAAAUUCUAGAAAAUGAAUGAGAAUUUGGAUGUAAAACAACACGUCCUAAUACUUAUAAAAAACAUAAAAAGAAAAAUAGAAAAUAUAAAUUUAUUAGGUGAAAACAAGGAAAUAAAAAAUAUACUGGUAAGAAAAAGAAAAAAAUUGUUAGAAAAAAAACUUCCAAAAAAUUUAAAAAACAUAUAUGUAAAUGUUUUAUUUGUGUGAAGAAGGCCAUAUAGCACCAAAUUGUCCUAAUAAAUGAAAAAGUGCUAAAAAGAUGAUUAAAAGUCUUGAAGAACAAGAUUUAGAAAUUUGUUACGAAGAGGAAAUAAAUCCUGAAGAAAUGAGUUAAUGUCAGAAACAGAUUCUGAUUCAGAUGAAGAAAAAUACAUAUUUAUGUUUAAUGUUUUUGCAGUUAUAUAUUGGAGCUCGUACCUGUUCCAUAAUCUGCAACAAAAUGAUGAUGAUGAUGGUCACCAUCACCAUCACCAUCACCAUCCCUUUCUCUUCCUCUCUAUUAUUAAUAUAUCCCUUCACUUUCAUCCUAUCGCUUGCAUUUUCACCAUGGUAAACAAAACACCGACCUCGUGGUUGUCAAUGGCGAAAAGGGCUUUCGGGUCUAAUGCUAUACAUAACGAGAAAAAGAGUUGCAGAACAAGAGAGAAAAGAUGAUGGCUAUUUAAAUGGCCUCAACGACGUAAACCCAAAACCAAAUCACAAUCCAUUGCAGCUGUUAACAUCGUUAGCCAUUGUUGGUGAAAAAAACCAAGCUGCCAUUGUCAUUCAAACAGCUUUUAGAGGCUACAUAGUAAGUGAAAGAUUCUCUCUCUCUAUAUCAUUAACUGUUUAUUUAGUGUUUUUGAUGAAAUUUUUUUUGUGAAAGGCAAGGAAAGCAUUGGGAGCAUUGUAAGGGGUAGUGAAGCUUCAAGCUUUAGUGAGAGGGUACAAUGUGAGAAGGCGAGCAAAGGUGGCACUAAAAUGCAUGCAAUCUUUGGUUCGAGUACAAAUCGAGUGCUGCUCCAUCAACAACGAGCAAGGCUUUCAUAUGAAGGAUGUAGAAGGGCCAUGUUUAUUGAAUCCAAUUCAUCGUUGGAAUCUCCAUGUCUGCAAGAUGUUCGUAGCAGAGAGUCCAUCGUAAGUGCUCUAACUUUUUUUCAUUUAGUUUUACUGAGUUCCAUAAAUAGUUUAGCACUCUAGUUCUAGUUAAUAAUUUUGGUAACGAACGUCUUUAGGUACUCUCUUUUAAGAUUAAUUAUUAUAUACUAUAUGUAGUACAGCAGAAAUAUAUUUAUCAUUUGCGGAUUUUAACACUGACCAAAACUUGUUUCGAUUCGGAAAAAUUGAAAAAUAUUUCGAAGUUCGAGUUAAUCGAAUUAAGUUAAAUUUUACUAUUCGAAUAAAUUAAAUAAUUCGAAUAACAGGUUGAUCUAAAUAUUCUUUUUGUUCCUACCAAUUUUAAAAAUAAGCAAGUUGAACUCUCUCAAUAAAAAUUACAAAAAAAAUAAAAAUAAUUUUUAAAAUUUAACAUAUUUAUAAAAAUUUAAAAAUUUAUAUAUAUUUUUAAAAAUUAUAAAUAUUCUAAAAAUUCUAAAAAAUACAUAAAGAAAUCUAAAAUUUUAAAAAUUUUCUAAAAUAAAAAUUUUGAAUACCUAAAAAAGUUGAUUAAUGAUUUAAGUUUAUGCUAUUAAAUAUCAUAUUAUUAUUAUUUUUUAUUUUUUUGAAAAAGUUUUCAAAUAUAUAUGAUUUCAAAUUUUUGUGCUUUAAUAUAAAAUUAGUUAUAAUGUAACAAUAUUUUAAUUUAACUCGAUUAAAAAAAUUCAAAUUAAAUUAAAAAGAUAAAAUAGGACUCGUGAACUCGAUUAAUUUAAAAUUUUUUUUACUCAAUUUAAUCGAAAGCUCAACUCUAACUGACUGAAUAAUUUAACUCAAUUAACAUUGGUACAAUUGAAAUUAAGAGAAAGUGAUUCCACUAUAAUUAAAUACGUAUUAUCUUUUAAUUUAGACGUUUAGGAUAAAAAUAUAAUGGACCAAACAGGGCCUAGACUCAAUUUAAAACUAAUUUUCAUGCGGGCUCAAAUCCACCCAAAUGGUACAUUUUAUUGUUAAAAAGAUUAAAAUAUUGUAAUUUAAAUUUAAUUAUAAAAAUAUUAAAAUAAUGAUUUAUAUUAGCCUGACAAAAGUCCUUAUUAGAAUCAUGCUAAUAGUUUGAAGGCUCAAUUAAAAUACCUUAAAGUUUAGGUAUGGAUUUAAAAUGCUAAUAUUUUGCUGUUAAUUCAUUUCAAUUUCGUGUUCUUCGCGGUGAUCUCGAGGUCGGGUUCUAGUUUUUUUUUCAUCAAUGGAGAAUAUUGUAGCUUUAGCUUAGUUUCUGAAACAGAUUCUUAAAUAAUUAUACCCAACAUUUCAAAACUCUAUUUUUGCUUUUAAAAUUUCUCUGUUUGGGUUUAUAAAUUUUGGGUUUUUAUUUUUGUUUUUGAUCAGAUGCUAAAAAAGGGAGUUUUUUAUUUAUUUAAAGAAUAGGGAUAAUCUAAUCUAAUCUAAUCAUCAGGCCAUGGCUGUUGUUGAGAAUGCUUCGAAUCAAGACACGGAGGCUGCAACAGUGACGUCAAACGACCAAGAUCAGUCAAAGCUUCGGUCAACAACCGAUCUGAGCUUACACGACAACGAUCAAGGGUUGUACAACAAGAUCGGUGGAACCAACGGUGGUGGUGGUAAAGAUGAGCUUGGGGAUAGUUUCAAAAGAGAUAUGAGGGAGUUACAAGAACUGUUCUCUAAGCUUAACCCCAUGGCUAAAGAGUUUGUACCUCACUCGCUUGUUAACAACGGACUCAAUGGUGGGUUUCACACUAACAAUAUUGCUUUUCAAAACAACAAUAACAACAUCUCAAGGAAUGGUAAUGCUAAUUGCAAUGGUGGUGGUAAAAGGGUAUGUCACCAAAACCCGAGUUAUUUUCAUUGAUGCUUAGUGUACAUUUUGUAUAAGGAAAUUGAUAUGCUUUGUGAGUAUUAUUGCUGUAUUGGUCUUAUGCUUGGUAGGGUUGGUUCUUAUUUUAG